AUUUGUCAACACUUUUUGGAUGAAAGAAGAAACACAAAAUGCCUUGCUCAACACGAUGGUGAAAGGCAAAUUGGAGUGUGGACUUUGCAGCUAAUUACCCUUAUCCUGAUCCCAGAAAGUUGACUGCUUUCUCAAUAACUUGCAGCUGAUUCCCAACCAGGCCCUGUUCUAAGUCCUAAAGAUAGAAAGGAACACUGAAAAAAAUCUACUCUAGUGGAACUUGCAUUCAAGUAUGGAAGGCUGGCAAUAAAUAAACAAAUAAACAAGGGUUUUAUGAAGCU
rnacentral:lncRNA from 1 species